GUAAGUAAAUACAAUCAAUCUCGCCGUGUAUCAUACGAUGUCGGCAGCUUCCCACCUCGGCCAGAAAAUUGCCGGCUCCUGAGUGGAUUGGGGAAUGACAUUCAUAACUGCAAAAAACACAGACCUACGCGUGUGUAUUUUAAAGGAAAAAACGAAGGGUCACUGCAUCACAUCACCAAUUGCUUAAUUCUGAGCCCAUUGACCUGACAACCAAAGCCAGGCUGGGGGGAGGAAGCUGCCCCCUAGGAGGGCAGGACCUCCUCCUCCUGAUUUUGGACAUCGCAACCCCAGUGCCCUUCAAACAACCCCAGAGCCGCGGCAGCAGGGUGUGAGCUCACAGCACCCUUGCACUGCCCCUGUGCAUUGAUGUCUCUCCCCUCCGAAUUGUGAAUGAACGAACUUUCUCCCAGAAUAAAUAACCAUUGCAUGAAAGUUAUUUUAGGGCCGGUCUCUGCCGGUGGAGUUUCCGCGCCUGCCGAGGCCCAUCACAUUGUUUUCUGCUGCUUUCCUUGGCACGGCCCCAGCGCCAGGGUUCAGAAGUAAUUGCUAUAAAAGUCACAUUGCUUUGAAGGGGGAGGCAGGGCCAGGGAGGAGCUGGGCUGUCAGAAGGGCUGAGGACGGUCCCAGUGGCAACAGUGUUCCUAUGGUGUAGGGAUAAAGGCGGACACCAUACGGAUACCCCAUAGGGUACCACUGGGAUGCUCCAGGGGGUACCAUAGGGAUAUCCCAUAGAUAACAUAGGGGAGAUCCAGAGAUACCACGAGGAUAUCCCUCUGGUACAACCAGGACGCCCCAUAGGUACUGCAAAACCCUUGCAGGCUCUAUUACGCCCGGGAUGGAGAGGAGAAAAGAAGAAAUGAGAGUCACAGCAAUCAGAUUAUGAGCAGAGUAGUAUUACACGCGGAAGAGCCCGCGGGGAAUGGGCUUCCAGGGCUAUUUUUGCCCAGCAAAAGUUGCAAUUAAUUUGCAAAGGAAGUGGCUUAGCAUUAGAAAACCCCGCGGGCAGACCCCGCACCCGGGGACGAACAUCACAUUAUUUUCUCAUUUAAAACCAAUCGUGGCCGGGAGGGGAAGGUCUGGGGCUGCUCCCCCCGGGCUGGCGCUAACAGGGAGCGGGGGGGGGGAGGCGCGUUCGGAGGGAGAGGGAGCAGAAAUUAACCUUGGAAAGCAUUCAAAUUAGGCAGUGUAAUAAGAGAACCACUUCUCUGGGUAAAUUUGUUAGGAUUAGGGCUCACUGAGCUGUUGAGGAGAAUUCAGCGUGGCUCGGAGCCAGCGCAAAAUGAAGCUCCUGGCUGGGGCGGCUGCGGGAAAGUCCAGGCUAAUGGGCUUUGGUUCAAACUCUGAUAGGAAAAAAAUCCAGGAACAAAGGCACUAAUUCUUCCCAAAGCCCCCCAAAUCUCAGUUUAUACAUUUCUGUUUAUAUUCGUUCAUAAUAGAUAUACACAGCUGUUCUUAUCAUUCAUAUUCAAAUUCCGCGCGCAUCUUCAGCGUUUAUUACUCCUGCCUCAAAAUGAUUAAAGAAAAUGGCAGACAAAACCCAACCUGCCUCGGGGUGUGACAUGGCUGUGUCCCGCUCUCCCUAUCAGGACCCGUCCUCAGGGCUGGAGAGGACCCAUUGGCAUGGCUGCAUUCCCCAGCAGCUCAGUGGGGUUGGGGGCUUUGAGCAAAGCACACCUGUGGGAACACCACACGUCGUUAUCCCCUUUGCAUCUUUAAACACUUACCUCUCGAUCUUCCGAAGUUGCUCUUAGGGACAAAUCUCUCACCUCUGAGCAAAGCUCAUUAGCGAAGUGGGGGUGAGCAGCAGGGACACGGGCACUGCAGACACGUCAGGCGUUGUCAUCAGGUUUCAGCUGAUCACAACUGGAGCUGUAAAUCCCAGGAUGAGGCACCAGGGAGGAGCAGAAAGCUCCAUGCCCCUGUCCCACCGGGCUGGUGGGGAUGUGCUGUCACCUCUUCCCCACCAGAGGAGGAUGAGGAGGGUGACUUCAGGCAGCCUCCCUCCAGGAGUGCAUACUUACUGCUGCAGGGAGACGGGAUGGGACCAGGCAAUGUGUGAACUCCUGGCUUCAAAUUAGCUAAUAGCUUCAGAUGAUGCCAAUAGACUGCAGGGGAGGGGAGGAGUGAUUUAUGGGGGAAGAUUAAGUGGAAUUAUUAGGGCCGCCUCGCUGCUUAGGAGCUUCUCAGCCCCAGAAAUGGGAUGGUUUUCUGCAGGCACAGAGGGUGUGAGGUCAACAGCAUUGUACCAUGGCUCUUCUAUGUCCCAGCUGUGUGCACGGCACUGUUCACCAGCCUGACCGCUCCCAUGUGUAACGAGUUGAUGUGGUCUCAGGCAGGAGAGAUUUUCAUCGCGCUAUAGGGAAGCACUCACGGUUCCCUGUUCCAGGAGCCCUGGAUGUAAUAAAAAGGCCUCCUCAGGCUUCAAAGCGGGAGGAUUUUCAUUGCUUCCUGGGCUGAGAACAAAGCACCAUUGAGCGUGGCCAACGGUUGUCUCUGCCCUGCGAUGUGCAUCAGCCACCACGCAGUGGGGUGUGUGGGGGGAGAUGGGGUCACCCGGAGCUGGGGCACUUCAGGAUGGGUUUGCCAGCCCUGAUCACCCGGCUGGGACCUGAGAAGGUGAGCAGCCCUGUAGGUCGCUCCCUGCCUGAGCCUGCUUGGGUGCCACUGCUCGGACUGGGAGACGGUGUCACCUCCAGGCGAUACCUGCAGACAAAGGGCUGCCGAAGCAGUGAGUAAUGUGAUUUUCAGCAGGGAUUGUGUGCAUGACUGUGUAAAUAACACAGUCAGAGGUACCAUAAAACCAGCUCUUUUCACGUCAAAAUGGAAAUUUAAUAGAGUAACAAGCAGGGCUUGCUGGGGAUGCACCAUCAGUAGCUCAGCACUGGGGCACAAGCUUCUGUCCCCACUGUACCCAAAGCUCAGCGCUCAUCUGGAGCCAUGUAGGGGCUUCAGCCCCAGCCUCACCUGCCCCCUGCCCUGCAGUACACCAGGCAUGGACAAGCAGAUGGGAAUACGUCAGCAAAACAGAAGUCCCCUGUCACCUUUGUGGGUACAGGGCUCCUAUAGGGUCAGGCACAGGGACUGCUCCCGCUGCCCUGGUGCAAGGCAAAGAGCAGGGGUGAGACCCACCUCCCAGCCCCUCUGCCCCCCACGCUGUCACCCCACAGUCAUUUCCAGGUAACAGGAAGCCUUCACACUGUAUGGAGCCUGAGGUAGGAAAGUUGACAUGGAAAGGGAAAAAAAGAAAGAAAAAGAAAAAGAAAAGAAAGUAUAUCAAAGGAAAUGAUCUGCACAGCUCACUGCCAAAUCUGCCCGGCGGUGCUUCCGCUCCCGACCCCUUCCAGGUGGCAGUGGUGCAGCUCUGUGCACAGGAACCUGCUGCUGCCCUGCUCAGGAGCCAGAGCCUUUUUUCUGAAGCUGGAGAUGAUGAUCACCUGCUCCAGCCCCACUGCCUCCCCCCACGCACAGCCUCAGCGCAACGUGCUCUAGGCACCUGGCUGAGGCCAAAACCUCAGAGAGAGCAGUGCUGAUUUGCAGUGCACAAAGGAGGUCUGUGUCUGGAGUGAAGCAGAGGGGUUAGGCGUGGUAAACCCAGCUAUCUGCUCACGAGCACAGCAAUGGGACAUCUGUUACCCCAGAUCAAGCACUGGUGACCCAGUGCUGCCAUGUCCCCAUGUGCCUGGAAGCUGUCUGGGAGCACAGAGCCAAAAUCCCCAUUAAAGGUUGGGAAUCCCUGUUCCCAUCUCCCCCUUUCCUGUGGGCUUUGCAGGUUGCUAGUGUGGAGGAAACCCUGGCCCUGCAGAAUGACAGAGGAAGCCCUGGGCUUUUGGCUCAUCUGUAAAACCUCCACCCAAUUCUCCUGUGUUCUCAUACCAAAUUUACAACCUCCAUCUCCAAACCAUCUCUGGGCUCAUCCUGUCUGGAGCCCAGGCUGUAUGGGGCAGGGGAAGCCCCAGUGGCCUUCAGGGCCCCCACACUGCUCACCCUGGGUCUUGCAUCCUCUGCAUGGCUGCAAUGACCAAUUUGGGGCAGGAUGCUGCAGCACUGCUUUCCUGCUGCCUCCAACAGUGACUUGACAAUUCCUCCUGCAUAGCAACACGGGGAGCUGCUCCACCUCUACAAUGUUUCCAAACCCCAAACAACAUCCAAACCCUGCUGCUGUAGGGUUUAAUCCAGUCUGCCUUGCUCACAGCAUCUCCAGCGCUCCCAGCCACCUGGUAUCCAGCUGUCCCCAUCCCAGUGAGGACAUGAUGUUCUGAGGUAGGUUUGCCUCUCUGGGUGCUUUUCUUGAUGACCCCCCCCCCUUCCCCCGAGCAGCCCAAUGGAAGAAACAUGCAGGGACUGGUAGGGAUGCGUGGCCAUACCUCAGCACGCAGCACACCGCCGUGCCUACAGGAAACAUAUGUCACUGGUUAAACAGAUUGUGAAAGCUUCAAUCGCUUCCUUAUGGCACGCCAGCAGCUCUGGCCCCGCACUCCUCUCCUACCCCGGUGCGGGAUGUCGGUUGCCUUGUGAAGGUUUCUGUGCCUGAUAGCCUGGGAUUGUUUUGGCUUUCAUGUGGU
ensembl:lncRNA